AGCGGCGAACGGGUGAGUAACGCGUGGAUAACCUGCCUUAUAGAGGGGGAUAACUAUUGGAAACGAUAGCUAAUACCGCAUAACAACUUAGUACUCAUGUACUAAGUUUAAAAGUAGCAAUUGCUACGCUGUGAGAUGGAUCCGCGUUGUAUUAGCUAGUUGGUAAGGUAACGGCUUACCAAGGCGAUGAUACAUAGCCGACCUGAGAGGGUGAUCGGCCACACUGGGACUGAGACACGGCCCAGACUCCUACGGGAGGCAGCAGUAGGGAAUCUUCGGCAAUGGACGGAAGUCUGACCGAGCAACGCCGCGUGAGUGAAGAAGGUUUUCGGAUCGUAAAACUCUGUUGUAAGAGAAGAACACUGAGGAGAGUGGAAAGCUCCUUAGUUGACGGUAACUUACUAGAAAGUCACGGCUAACUACGUGCCAGCAGCCGCGGUAAUACGUAGGGGGCAAGCGUUGUCCGGAUUUAUUGGGCGUAAAGCGAGCGCAGGCGGAUCAUUAAGUCUGAUGUAAAAGGCAAUGGCUUAACCAUUGUAAGCAUUGGAAACUGGUGACCUUGAGUGCAGNAGAGGAGAGUGGAAUUCCAUGUGUAGCGGUGAAAUGCGUAGAUAUAUGGAGGAACACCGGUGGCGAAAGCGGCUCUCUGGACUGUAACUGACGCUGAGGCUCGAAAGCGUGGGUAGCAAACAGGAUUAGAUACCCUGGUAGUCCACGCCGUAAACGAUGAGUGCUAGAUGUUCGGGGGNAUCCACCCCUGA
rnacentral:rRNA from 1 species